UAUGGCCAUAUCACGUAGAAACACCGGUUCUAGUACGAAGUUAAGCAACGUCGAGCCUGGUCAAUACCUGGAUGGGUGACCGCUUGGGAAUGCCAGGUGCUGUCA